ensembl:lncRNA
UAUUUAUAUACAUACGUAGACUAAUAAUAAUAAUAUUUAUUUAUUUAAUAAUAAUGAUAUACCAAAUACAUUAUAUAAAAUAAAUACAAUCUAACAUAUAUAUAGUGCUGAGUAGUUAUACCAAUCACCUUCUCUCUUCGUUACAGUACCUGUUGAGAAUCACCAGUUUGAGUCUUUUUUUAAACAGUCUUGCUUGGACUUUGCUUCAGCUCUUUUUGAAGUUUUUUCCAGACCUUCACACCACUGACUGAAAUGCACAUUCUCUUCAUGUUUAGCAACACUGUGAAAUCGAUGUUUGACAAUGAAGCUAAAUAGAAACUGUAAUUGAAGAUUGAGAGAGAGAGAUGGACAGACGGCGGAUAGAGUAGAGAGAGAGAGAGAGAGAGAGAGAGAGAGAGAGAGAGAGAGAGAGAGAGAGAGAGAGAGAGACUAAUGGAGAGAGCAGGGAUCUGAUUUCCGGCAACACGUAGCUGAGGACAGAGCAGGUCCCUAUCCGCUCUUCUUCCGCCCACUUCUCGCUACCCCGUGCAGAGCUCAUGCAUGUGAGCUCCAUGUGGGACCGGCGACACCGUCCAACGGUCAGAGGCUACUGGUGACUUUACAGAGACGGACGGGACUCGGCGGAAUCACGCCGUUAGAACCGAGCUCGUCGUUCGGGGUGAUGAAACGCUCCACUCUUCCGACCCAGGAGCAGCCUGCCCUGGAGGGCGUGGCCGAAGAGGAGGACGUGUUGGCCGCGGAGGUGAGCUCCACGAGCACGCUGGAGCCCGGCCACACUCAGGUAGCUUGUGAGGAAGAGGAUAAGAGGGAGGAAGAGGCCCAGCUGUCAGUGUCUGGGAUGGAAGCAGAGUUUGUCCAGCUGACCUUCAGGAAGCAGGUGUCCUAUAGUGACAGCAGAAGGAUGGAGACCUUGCCACCCAGCUGCCUCACAUUCACCAUUUCACAGCCAGCUAGGACGCAGGUUGUGACCCGCCAACAGAGGAGCAGUCGAUGGAACUGA